UCAUGAUUCAUAUUCAGAACAAUUCAAUAAAGUAUUUAAUUCGAUAGCAAAUCAAUAAGUAUCGCGGCUAACAUCGCAUCUUGUGGAUUUUUCGUUUUGCGCCUAACAGCUCUAUUUCUUAUGUUUUGUGUCAAAACAAACUUAUUCAGGCCUAAGAACCAAAAAUUCUGCAUGUUUGGAAAUUCAGAAGAGCGGCACAAGGUAGUUCGUUGUUUGUUUUAUAUUCAUUGCUUUCGUAAACUUUAUUACACGUCCUUUAUUCCGUUUACUUGCAGGGCAAUGGAAGAAAUGUGCAGAGUUUGCAAGGGAUCGUCUGAAUCAUUCACAAACAUAUUCGACGAGAAACAAAACUGGGACACUUGCAUUGCUGACAUGAUAGCUCAGUGCACCGGGUACGAGGUUAGCCGAGGAGAUUUACUAUCAGAAAAUAUAUGUCCGCCCUGCCUUGAGGAGGCAGUGAGUGCAUUCAAUCUUAAGACAACUUGCGAGCAGAGCUAUAAAUUGAUGGAGGAGUCUAAAGAAGCAGAAAUCUUUUAUAUUGUGGAAUACGAGGACUGGGAACCAUCAGAUUGCAGAAGCGAGCAGUCAAACAAUAUUGAAACCGACGCACAGGCAAAAGGUUGCCCUAAGUUAAAAUGUCCUCUUUGUCCAAAGAGCUAUUCGCACAGAAGUGGUCUAAAUAGACAUAUGCUUGUACACACGGGUGAACGACCCUAUAAAUGCUCCCAUUGCUUAAAGUCCUUCCAUUUUAGUUUCCAUCUGAGUGAACACAUCCGUUCACACCAGGUGGAUCCACCCUUUAUAUGUACAUACUGCUCAAAGUCAUAUGAACAUUCCAAUUCUCUUAGAAAACACAUAAAAAUGUCUCACGCGUAGAAUGAUAGUUACAAAACAAAAACCUAUAUACACACAUAAGUAUAAGUAAAUGUAUUUUCCUAUUCAAUCUCAGCAUGAGUUCACUUUCGUGAGCCAGCUGAAGAACGACUCUUCUAAGUGGCUCUACUUCUUUUCCUCCCAAGUUUACUCUAGCUGUCCUUUUUUCUUUGGGUAUAAAUUAAAUAAUCUAGCAUCUAAGAUUAAAAAUAACUA
rnacentral:lncRNA from 1 species